rnacentral:lncRNA from 1 species
GUCAUUGAUUUCAAGAGCAUCUACUGUGGAUGGCUUUAAGGUUUUCUUACACUUACUGUCCCUUGCCGUUCUUACACCAACCACAGAUCUGAAGCCGCCUUUGUAGCAACUCUUGACUGACUUCUAANAACUCUGACUUCUAGGUAAUCUGCCAGCUUUGAAGCUGACCUUGGCUUCAUUGCAGCUGAACAGCCAGCAUUGCAUAAUCAGUGCAACGGAACUGAAUUUUAACGUGGCUUGCUCACAGAAGAAAAUGGAUGUGAA